rnacentral:rRNA from 1 species
AGAGUUUGAUUCUGGCUCAGGAUGAACGCUAGCGACAGGCUUAACACAUGCAAGUCGAGGGGCAGCAGGAGCAAGAGGCAACUCUUGCUUGCUGGCGACCGGCGCACGGGUGAGUAACACGUAUGGAACCUGCCUCUCUCGGCCGGAUAACCCGGAGAAAUCCGGACUAAUACGGCAUGACGCCCCCGCGGGGCAUCCCGCGGGAGCCAAAGGAGGAAACUCCGGAGAGAGAUGGCCAUGCGGCGCAUUAGGCAGUUGGCGGGGCAACGGCCCACCAAACCGACGAUGCGUAGGGGUUCUGAGAGGAAGGCCCCCCACAUUGGAACUGAGACACGGUCCAAACUCCUACGGGAGGCAGCAGUGAGGAAUAUUGGUCAAUGGCCGGAAGGCUGAACCAGCCAAGUCGCGUGAGGGAGUGAGGCCCUACGGGUCGUAAACCUCUUUGGCGGGGGAGCAAUGGCGGUUACGCGUAACCGCAGGGAGAGUACCCCGAGAACAAGCAUCGGCUAACUCCGUGCCAGCAGCCGCGGUAAUACGGAGGAUGCGAGCGUUAUCCGGAUUUAUUGGGUUUAAAGGGUGCGUAGGCGGCGCUUCAAGUCGGCGGUCAAAUCCGGGGGCCCAACCCCCGGCAGCCGUCGAAACUGGGGUGCUUGAGUGAGCGAGAAGUGAGCGGAAUGCGUGGUGUAGCGGUGAAAUGCAUAGAUAUCACGCAGAACGCCGAUUGCGAAGGCAGCUUGCCGGCGCUCAACUGACGCUGAGGCACGAAAGCGCGGGGAUCGAACAGGAUUAGAUACCCUGGUAGUCCGCGCAGUAAACGAUGGAUGC